rnacentral:tRNA from 1 species
GCCUCCAUGGCGCAAUUGGCUAGCGCGUUCGGCUGUUAACCGAAAGGUUGGUGGUUCGAGCCCACCAGGGGGCG